rnacentral:rRNA from 1 species
UACGUAGGUGGCAAGCGUUGUCCGGAAUUACUGGGUGUAAAGCGCGUGUAGGCGGCAGACCAAGUCGGCGGUGAAAGCGCCCGGCUCAACUGGGCGAGGUCCGUGGAAACUGGUCAGCUGGAGGACGGUAGAGGCGAGUGGAAUUCCCGGUGUAGUGGUGAAAUGCGUAGAGAUCGGGAGGAACACCUGUGGCGAAGGCGGCUCGCUGGGCCGGUCCUGACGGCUGAGACGGCGAAAGGCGUGGGGAGCGAACGGG